AAGCACCAAACAGCAAGGUGCCUGUGCAUUGUUACGGAGCAAUAAAACAUAUGCAUACAUGAAUUGAAUAUGCCUUCCUAUUUCACAAUUCCUUACAAAUUGAACAUCGUGAGUCCAAAAUUAAAACAAACAAAACCGGUAACUGAGAUGUGAUAAUAAUCCACAAGGGACAUGUCCAUAAUGCUUAACAAGCUACAUAUCUUCAACAAUUUGCUUAGAUGAUAUAAAGCGAUCUUCAUACUAUAAUGUUGCUCCUAAAUUUGAUUGAUAAUCCUGAAUUUUAGCCCUACCUUCUUCCUCAUUGAUUUAACCUGCUCAUUCUCAAAAUCAGACAAAGGAUAGUUGAAUGUAAAUGACUGAAACCAAGUUACAAGAAGACGAACAAAUUUAAAAUGCUCAGUUGCGUUCAGGUUGUAGCAUUCAACCUAAGCAAUGAUGCCAGCACGCGAAGCAAUCAAGUUGCUGAUCUAGAAAAGAAGUGAAAAGUUAACCUUUCAUGCCCCUGAUCUAGCAUGCAAAAUUGUUGCACAGGGGUCACCACCGGUAGCCAGAAGAAUUAUGUCAGCAGCCUCAUCAUCGUACUGCUCAUACAUGAGAUGUGAAAAGGUAUAGAAAUCCACAAAUUCUACUAAAAAAUCUGCAAGCACAAGCUUUUACAUGGCCAGUUACUCACUUGGAGGAAGACUGCACGAGCGAAGUCAAUGCCAAAAGAGAUGAUCACCUUGUACAGGUCCCUCUGCAACUAACUAAAAAUCUUGGAAAUAUCAUUUUUACCAGAAUUCUCAUGUACAACAGGAAGUCUCUAGUUCUUACCAGAAGGAACAUAACUGCCUUUUCAUUUCCCACUCAUGAUCGCAUAGCAGACACAGGCUCAACCAAGCUUUCUGAAAACUGCAGGAAGGAUGAGCAUAAUCAGCAAUUUCAGUCAGGCGAGCACAAAUGUAUACUUCAGUAGUAAACCACUGCCAAGAAAACAUAAUAAAUGCAUCAACCACAACCGAAUUUUGUAUUCACCAUUUUCUAUCUUCAAUUUUAAAAGAGAAUUCAUUGCCACAAUGGGAUGGGGCAUGCUUUCCUUUAACACUAUCUGACACUGCCGUACGAGAUUCUUUGGUACUAUAUAUUAAAAGACCAAUCUUAAAAUAAUAUAUGCAAAUAAAAAAGAACAAAACUAUGCAACAUGAUGUUCAAACUUCUGAACAAUAACAUUUACCAGUUCAUUUGGUCCAGAGGCCCCUCAACCAAAUGAAAACAAACAAAAUAAAUAAUUUGCACAGUGUCGUGUUCGGGAAACAUCGAGCAUGGACUCAUGUCGAGGAAAAUUAAAAG
rnacentral:lncRNA from 1 species